rnacentral:rRNA from 1 species
UACGUAGGGUGCGAGCGUUAAUCGGAAUUACUGGGCGUAAAGCGUGCGCAGGCGGUUUUGUAAGACAGGCGUGAAAUCCCCGGGCUCAACCUGGGAACUGCGCUUGUGACUGCAUGGCUAGAGUGCGGCAGAGGGGGAUGGAAUUCCGCGUGUAGCAGUGAAAUGCGUAGAUAUGCGGAGGAACACCGAUGGCGAAGGCAAUCCCCUGGGCCUGCACUGACGCUCAUGCACGAAAGCGUGGGGAGCAAACAGGAUUAGAUACCCCAGUAGU